AAUCAACGCUGGCGGCGUGCCUAACACAUGCAAGUCGAACGCGAAAGUGGAGCAAUCCAUGAGUAGAGUGGCAAACGGGUGAGUAACACGUGGGUGACCUGCCUUCGAGUGGGGGAUAACGUCCCGAAAGGGACGCUAAUACCGCAUAAUAUGCUGUCUUUUAAGAGAGAGACAUCAAAGCCGGGGACCGUAAGGCCUGGCGCUUGAAGAGGGGCCCGCGCCUGAUUAGCUAGUUGGUGGGGUAAUGGCUCACCAAGGCAACGAUCAGUAUCCGGCCUGAGAGGGCGGACGGACACACUGGGACUGAGACACGGCCCAGACUCCUACGGGAGGCAGCAGUGGGGAAUUGUUCGCAAUGGGCGCAAGCCUGACGUCGCAACGCCGCGUGGAGGAUGAAGAUCUUCGGGUCGUAAACUCCUUUCGAUCGAGACGAAUGGCCCUUGGGCUAACAUCCCGAGGGAGUGACGGUACCGAGAGAAGAAGCCCCGGCUAACUCCGUGCCAG
rnacentral:rRNA from 1 species